rnacentral:sRNA from 1 species
CUUUCACCGACCUGCCCGAGCAGGUGCCCGAGUCCAUCUCGAACCAGAAGCGUGGCGUGAAGGUGCUGAAGCAGGAGCUGGGCGGGCUGGGGAUCAGCAUCAAGGGGGGCAAGGAGAACAAGAUGCCCAUCCUCAUCAGCAAGAUCUUCAAGGGGCUGGCGGCGGACCAGACCCAAGCCCUGUACGUGGGCGACGCCAUCCUGUCCGUGAACGGAGCCGACCUGCGGGACGCCACCCACGACGAGGCGGUGCAGGCGUUGAAGCGCGCGGGCAAGGAAGUGCUGCUGGAAGUGAAGUACAUGCGAGAAGCCACGCCCUAUGUGAAGAAAGGAUCCCCAGUAUCCGAGAUUGGGUGGGAAACACCUCCGCCUGAAUCCCCUCGGUUAGGGGGCAGCACCUCAGACCCCCCCUCAUCGCAGUCCUUCUCCUUCCACAGAGACCGGAAAAGCAUCCCCCUCAAAAUGUGCUACGUCACUCGGAGUAUGGCCUUGGCCGACCCUGAGAACAGGCAGCUUGAAAUCCACUCUCCAGAUGCUAAGCACACGGUGAUCCUAAGGAGCAAGGACUCAGCCACGGCCCAGGCAUGGUUCAGUGCCAUCCAUUCCAACGUUAAUGACCUGCUGACCCGAGUGAUUGCUGAGGUCAGAGAGCAGCUGGGGAAAACAGGCAUUGCUGGGAGCCGAGAGAUUAGGCAUCUUGGCUGGCUUGCAGAAAAGGUGCCAGGGGAGAGCGAGAAACAGUGGAAACCAGCCCUGGUUGUGCUGACUGAGAAAGACCUUUUAAUCUAUGACAGCAUGCCACGGAGGAAGGAAGCCUGGUUCAGCCCAGUUCACACAUACCCUCUUCUUGCCACCAGUCCUCAUCCAUGAACAUUAUCUUCAGAUUCUGAGACAUUCCCACAACAGAAACCAAAGAAAGAUUAGACCACAGUCACUGGAUUCCAGUUACUAAGAAGCAAAGUUGGACCCAAGCGUCUUGAAAUGAUUCUCAGAAACAAAAGUUGAAAUAAGGUAGUUUCUGCAACUCUCAGGCAACAUGAAAAUAAAAUUUACCCUCGUACAUAGCCUUGUUCUCACAGUUUCUGGGCAUUAUGAACAAUGGGGACUGUUUUUUCAUUCAUUCAUUCGUUCAUUCAUUCAUUCAUUCAUCAGUCAACAUUUAUAAAUCAUCUACUAUGUGCCAGGAGUUAUAAUUGGGACAAGGGAUAAAGAGGUGAAAAAAAUUCAAACUUGUGAACCUAGCAUUAUCUGGAACAAAGUGUGUUGAUGUGCAGGAACACAUAAGGAACCAUUUGCAGUAAAGACAACAAAAAAUGCCAAACUCUGCCUGGACAGUGAUGGAGGACUCCUUGCAGUAGAAGUCAUGUUGAAUUGAAGCCUGAGGGAAAACUCACCAGAGGAACAAGGGAAGGGAGCCCAGAGAGGGGCAUGAGCAUUCCAGACUUAGGGAAGAUCCAAGCACAGAGCUGGUGCACUGCUGCGUGGCCCAGUUAGAGCACCACGUAGGCCCUGGGGAAUGAGGGGAAAUGAAUCAGAUACUCACUAAGUACCCAGCACUUGACACAAGUUACCACUUACAACUUGUGUAUCCAUUCUGCAAGGCCUGUAUUAGUGUGCCCAUUUUGCAGAUUAGGUACCUGAGGCUCAGAAGAGUUCAGGAAUCACCCCAGGUGGUGUAGCUUCUGAGAGAUGGAGGUGGGAUUCCAGUUCCGGGACUGUGUGUCACUUGCAUACCUGUGCCUUGGUACCACAGGGGGUUGACACAGAGGUGGGAGAUGGGGAGGAAGACUUUUCACUAGCGUAUCCUUUUCUACCUUUUGAAAUUGGAACCAUGGGGAACAGCAGGAGUCUUUGGGGAUGAUAAGAGUCAUGGGUGUGAUCUGGGUAGAUAUUUUUAUAUUUGGUGUCAAAUAACAAAUGUCCAAGGAGUGACUGCUGAAUCCAAACAAUUUUGCAGUGAUCCUCAUUCCAUUGUAAAGAAA